rnacentral:rRNA from 1 species
AAUCAACGCUGGCGGCGUGCCUCAGACAUGCAAGUCGAACGCGAAAGCCCCCUUCGGGGGGCAAGUAGAGUGGCGCACGGGUGAGUAACACGUAGGUAAUCUACCUUUGGAUGGGGAAUAACAACCGGAAACGGUUGCUAAUACCGCAUAAUGCAGCGGCACCUAAUGGUGACAGUUGUUAAAGCGGGGGAUCGAAAGACCUCGCGUCUGAAGAGGAGCCUGCGGCGGAUUAGCUAGNGGUAAGGUAACGGCUUACCAAGGCGACGAUCCGUAGUCGGCCUGAGAGGGCGGUCGGCCACACUGACACUGACACACGGGUCAGACUCCUACGGGAGGCAGCAGUCGGGAAUUUUGGGCAAUGGGCGAAAGCCUGACCCAGCAACGCCGCGUGAAGGAUGAAAUCCCUCGGGAUGUAAACUUCGCAAGAACGGGAAGAAUAAGUAGGGACAAUACCCCCUAUGAUGACGGUACCGUUUGUAAGCU